rnacentral:lncRNA from 1 species
CCUCCCCCCAAUUCCACCAAAAUUUUCAGGAUCCCAGGAAGCACUACCAAUCCAUUGUCAACACAAGCACCUGAAAACAAAGAUCCGCUAAGACAUGAUUGUGCAAAGCAAACAGCUAAAUCGACUAACUUGUUGAUCACCAAGUGAAAUCAGGAAAAGGGUAACCUAAAAUGGUGAAAAGGAGGAGACUUAAUCAACUCUGAAUUGAAGUGAACUCACUGUGCAAAUUUCAGCUCGAAUCUGUGUGAGGAAAUUCUCUGAAGCGUUCGGAGCUCCGGAAGAGAGACCCACAGAGAGGCAAAAUGCGACAAACAGAGAAGGAUUUUGCAGUGAUUUGUGGUUAAAAUAUUCGCAAUUGAAAGCAAGUGAUAGAGAUCGCGUAGAGAAGGAGAGAGAAAGUGAGAGAGAGAGAGAGUGAAGAAGAGGUCUCCUCCGUCUCAAUCAGUGUUCACAACUGAUGAUUACUUCAUUCUUCU